CAGUAGCCGCGGUAAUACGGAGGGUGCAGCCGUUAAUCGGAAUUACUGGGCGUAAAGCGCACGCAGGCGGUUUGUUAAGUCAGAUGUGAAAUCCCCGAGCUUAACUUGGGAACUGCAUUUGAAACUGGCAAGCUAGAGUCUUGUAGAGGGGGGUAGAAUUCCAGGUGUAGCGGUGAAAUGCGUAGAGAUCUGGAGGAAUACCGGUGGCGAAGGCGGCCCCCUGGACAAAGACUGACGCUCAGGUGCGAAAGCGUGGGGAGCAAACAGGAUUAGAUACCCGUGUAGUCCCUGUCUCUUAUAC
rnacentral:rRNA from 1 species